GUGGGGAAUCUUCCGCAAUGGACGAAAGUCUGACGGAGCAACGCCGCGUGAACGAUGACGGCCUUCGGGUUGUAAAGUUCUGUUAUACGGGACGAAUGGUACGACGGCCAAUACCCGUCGUAAGUGACGGUACCGUAAGAGAAAGCCACGGCUAACUACGUGCCAGCAGCCGCGGUAAUACGUAGGUGGCAAGCGUUGUCCGGAAUUAUUGGGCGUAAAGGGCGCGCAGGCGGCGUCGUAAGUCGGUCUUAAAAGUGCGGGGCUUAACCCCGUGAGGGGACCGAAACUGCGAUGCUAGAGUAUCGGAGAGGAAAGCGGAAUGCCUAGUGUAGCGGUGAAAUGCGUAGAUAUUAGGAGGAACACCAGUGGCGAAAGCGGCUUUCUGGACGACAACUGACGCUGAGGCGCGAAAGCCAGGGGAGCAAACGGGAUUAGAUACCCUAGUAGUCC
rnacentral:rRNA from 1 species